CCCUUUUAUCAACACACAGACCCAGAAGACCCCUCCGUCCUGUAGCACCUGCCAUGAGCAUUGAGCUCCUGUGUUGUGCGGCCUUUUCUCUCUUGUGGACAGGUCCAGUGAAUGCUGGUGUCACUCAGACACCAAAAUUCCAGGUCCUGAAGACAGGACAGAGCAUGAUAGUGCAGUGUGCCCAGGAUAUGAAACAUGACUACAUGUUCUGGUAUCGACAAGACCCAGGCAUGGGGCUGAGACUGAUUUAUUACUCAGUUACUGCUGGUAUCACUACCAAAGGAGAAGUCCCCAAUGGCUACAAUGUCUCCAGAAUAAACACAGAGGAUUUCCUGCUCAGGCUGGAGUCGGCUGCUCCCUCCCAGACAUCUGUGUACUUCUGUGCCAGCAGUUACUCCACAGCGUUACAAGGCUGUCUCCUCUCCGGGGCUAUUCGAACCUAUUCUAGAACAAGGAGUGAGAUCCCCCAUUUCCCCGUGGUGAUCAGGCUUUCAGAGGUAGAAGCCUUAUUAGUUCAUAAUCAGCACAAACUGACCUCACCAUCAAAUGUAUCGACCUCGAUGCUCACCCUCCUCAGCAAUCAGAGACUGGCUGUGUUCACCAGGAGCUCGUUCUCCUCACCCCAGCACUCAGCUGAUGAUUCCAGCUUUUCCAUCACUCAUAGUCCCAGCAGGGCCAGUGUGAGAGCUCCAUUGGUUUCUCCUGCAUGA